AUGCAGGGGACUGGUGUAGGGGAGGUUGAGGUCGCCGGAAAACAGGGGCUGAGACGCGGCCGGGCUUCGGCCGUCGAGGUAGAGGAGGCGCUCGGGGCGGAGCAGAUCACAACAGCGGCGAGGUGUGGAUGGCGGCGCUCGUGUAGUUGGUCGGAGACAGCAGGAGGCGGCUCGCCGGGGAGCCAGGAUGGCGGGGUAGCCGUGGCCAUGGACGGACGACGAGGGCGACGGUGGAAGGGGAAGCUAGCGCCUGGGCGACGCGAGUGGCCUCCGGCGGCACCGGAUCGAGGCGGAGGAGGUAGCAGGACGCCGGAUCGGGGAGGCGUGCGCGAUGGUGUGAGUGGGUGGCGGCGGGAGCAGGGGAAGGAGACGAGGCAGAGGAUGAGGGGAUCGGGGAGAUGGGGGUUGCGAGGGAGAUGGGGAUUGAGCGCGGCCUCCUGGCUCGAUGCGUGGGGGCGUGCAUGUGGCGGCGGCGUUGGGAGGGAACGAGGGAGAGAGGUGGAGAUCGAGAGAGGAGACUGGGGAACAGGCUCGGGAGAGGCUAGGGUUCGGUCGGGCCUUGGCCUUGGGCCGAAUGGGCCGGCCUAG
rnacentral:rRNA from 1 species